UACGGAAGGCAGCAGUGGGGAAUAUUGCACAAUGGGCGCAAGCCUGAUGCAGCCAUGCCGCGUGUAUGAAGAAGGCCUUCGGGUUGUAAAGUACUUUCAGUCGUGAGGAAGGUGUUAAGGUUAAUAACCUUAGCAAUUGACGUUAGCGACAGAAGAAGCACCGGCUAACUCCGUGCCAGCAGCCGCGGUAAUACGGAGGGUGCGAGCGUUAAUCGGAAUUACUGGGCGUAAAGGGCACGCAGGCGGUUAAUUAAGUUGGAUGUGAAAUCCCCGGGCUUAACCUGGGAAUGGCAUUCAAGACGUGGUUAGCUAGAGUCUUGUAGAGGGGGUAGAAUUCCAUGUGUAGCGGUGAAAUGCGUAGAGAUGUGGAGGAAUACCGGUGGCGAAGGCGGCCCCUGGACAAAGGACUGACGCUCAUGUGCGAAAGCGUGGGGAGCAAAC
rnacentral:rRNA from 1 species